UGGCGAUUCUCUGAGAUGUGCACACACAGGAACUUGGUGCUGCUUCCCCUCCACGGCAGCACCAUUGAUGAGACAGAAAUUCAGCUGCAGUCGACUCAGCAGUGAGAACUGAAGAUGUCAGUUAUGAACAAACAUACAUCAGAACAAGGAGGCCCAGACUUCAAACCAGUGCCAGACGUCGUCUACUCUUCACUGAAGUAGUUCACCAGUACAACCACUGACGUCCAGCUGCUGGUCUCUAACUGGUCCCCCAGCACCUCAGACCAGAGGACAUCCACAUGUUAUUUAUUAAUUUCUUAAUUUCCUCUAGAACCUGUAAAAGCGUUCCGUAUAAGUUCUCUGCAGGAUCAAUAAA